GUACUUACCUGAACGGGGUCGAUCGAUGAUCAAGAAGGCUGAUGGCCUGGGUUGACUGCCUCCAUUGCAAUUGGGAGGAGAGUCCCUCCACCACCUCCCCAAGUUGGAGAGUGGAUGUCAUAAUUUGUGGUAGCGGGGGAACACAUUCACAAGCCCCCA